rnacentral:lncRNA from 1 species
UUCUAGGAGGCAGGGAUUGGAGGAAGUAGAUUCAGAAGUAAGAAGAAUUUUUGGGCUACACUUUCAAGAAAGUUGUGGUUGGGACCCAGGAGGUAUGGGUCAGAAGGAGAGGUAGGGGCGCACGCAUGGGCGACUGUUGAGUAGAGACUUCUGGCUGCGCCAUAUCUUGACCGUCCAAUGCUGGGAGUUUGGGAUGACAGCCUCUAGUCAACCCUCAGCUUCCCCAGGAAAAUUGUGAAAGUGGAAGCUGGUUCUAGGCAGACCAAUGCUCCCAACCCAGAAAGGUUGGGGGUUGUUAGAAAG